CAGCCGCCGCGGUAAUGCGUAGGGUGCAAGCGUUAAUCGGAAUUACUGGGCGUAAAGCGUGCGCAGGCGGUUAUAUAAGUCAGAUGUGAAAUCCCCGGGCUCAACCUGGGAACUGCAUUUGAGACUGUAUGGCUAGAGUGUGUCAGAGGGGGGUAGAAUUCCACGUGUAGCAGUGAAAUGCGUAGAUAUGUGGAGGAAUACCGAUGGCGAAGGCAGCCCCCUGGGAUAACACUGACGCUCAUGCACGAAAGCGUGGGGAGCAAACAGGAUUAGAUACCCGCGUAGUCCCUGUCUCUUAUAC
rnacentral:rRNA from 1 species